rnacentral:rRNA from 1 species
AGUAACGGCGAGUGAAGCGGGAAGAGCUCAAGCUUAAAAUCUCCAAGCAAGUUUUGCCUGGCGAAUUGUAGCCUAUGGAAGCGAUGUCAGUGCCGUCGGCAGGACCAAGUUCCUUGGAAUAGGACAGCAAGGAGGGUCAUACUCCCGUCUGUGUCCAGUUGACGUGCUCGUACGACACGCUCUCUUCGAGUCGCGUUGUUUGGGAUUGCAGCGCAAAGCAGGUGGUAAACUCCAUCGAAAGCUAAAUACCGGUAGAGACCGAUAGCGAACAAGUACCGUGAGGGAAAGAUGAAAAGAACUUUGAAAAGAGAGUUAAAAGUACCUGAAACUGCUGAAAGGGAAGCGAAUCGCGUCUACUGUCCCUUCGCGUUCAUCGCGUUUCUCUAGCCACUUUGAGGGUACGAAGCGUUGGUGUCGCGGUGGAGUCAGAGUCAGUUCCGAUCGUGGUCCUUGCCGGUCACUAGAGCUUAUUGCACGUAGUUGCGAGAGGCGUAACUAAGCCGGAUGGGGUCGUGGUCGGGAUUGAGGUGUCUACAACAUGCAAUCAAGUCCGGUGCGCGCGUUUCCGCGAGGCGGGGGGAGAGUCAACUCGAAC